GACGAACGCUGGCGGCGUGCUUAACACAUGCAAGUCGAACGGAAAGGCCCUGCUUUUGUGGGGUGCUCGAGUGGCGAACGGGUGAGUAACACGUGAGUAACCUGCCCUUGACUUUGGGAUAACUUCAGGAAACUGGGUCUAAUACCGGAUAGGAGCUCCUGCUGCAUGGGGGGGGUUGGAAAGUUUCGGCGGUUGGGGCUGGACUCGCGGCUUAUCAGCUUGUUGGUGGGGUAGUGGCUUACCAAGGCUUUGACGGGUAGGCGGCCUGAGAGGGUGACCGGCCACCUUGGGACUGAGAGACGGCCCAGACUCCUACGGGAGGCAGCAGUGGGGAAUAUUGCACAAUGGGCGGACGCCUGAUGCAGCAACGCCGCGUGCGGGAUGACGGCCUUCGGGUUGUAAACCGCUUUCGACUGUGACGAAGCGUGAGUGACGGUAAUGGGUAAAGAAGCACCGGCUAACUACGUG
rnacentral:rRNA from 1 species